rnacentral:misc_RNA from 1 species
AUGAAGCAACUGAUCCAGCAAUGACAGUAGAAGAACAUGCAAUGACAAAUUGUGUUACCCAGAAACAUCCAAAAAGAUGAAAAAGAAUGGAGAGUGCAAUGUGAUUAGUGUAAUGGAUGCUGUAGCCGCAGCAACUGUCACAGUUCACCCUGCUGGACUUGAGGUCAUAUGAGCAACAAUUGGCAUUACAGUCAUUUUGAAGGACCUGACCAGAGCUAAAAAGAUGGAGUGUAGCAGAAAACCAACACAUAUAGAAGAUUG